rnacentral:rRNA from 1 species
UGGUAGUAUAUAAACCAAUAUACCUUGGCGGUCAAUAACCAUUAGAGGAACUUGUUACAUAAAUCGAAAACACACUAUUAUUUUAACUUUUCUUAUCAAAUUUAUAUACCGUCGUUAAGACUAGAAAUUACUUCUACUCAAUUCACUAAAGAUCCACAUCAGAUCAAGGUGUAAUAAUAGAAAUGAAGUAAUUAGUUACAAUUUAAAUGAUAUAAGAAUCAUUAAGAAACCUUAAUGUGAAAGAGAAUCUAAUAGUAAAAUUCAAUUAAAAUUUAAUUUUAAAUUUCAACUGUUGAUGC